AGGCAUUAUUCUGCCUUUGCAGAACACACCAUCACCAUCAAAGAAGAAAAUAAGAGCCCGGGCAGAGAGGAAGGAAGAAAGAAAGGGAGAGUGAGAGGAGAUGAAAAAGAGAGCCCGGGCAUAUAUUGUAAACACUAAAGUUGUAGCCCUAUUAUUUUACGUAGUGGAAAAGUUACUGUUGCUGCUCUCCGAGGACGUAGGACAAAUGGACAUGGAGCUCGCAGAGGCAUUGACAUGUGACAUGUAGUCACGUUUGACGUGUCUGCUAAUGAAAACCUCCUUCAAUUUCUAUAAAAUAAAUACCAUCGCAAAUAUAUAUUGCAUAUUUAUGUAUCAGACUGAAACUACUGAGACUGAUGAGAGUGCGAGUUAGGGAGAAAGAAGGAUGGCAUCUGCAUAUUGUCCAGAGCUGGUGGGAGAAGACGGGGAAGUUGCAGCGGCAAAGAUAGAGCAAGAGAAGCCUGAUGUUCAUGCAAUCCUCAUCCCCGAAGGAACUAUAAUCACCCAAGAGUUAAGGUGCAACCGGCGUCGUCACAGCGGUUCCCCGCGUUGGCUAGCUAGGCCUACUUACUAGAAGGGCUUGUUUGUCGAUGGAAAUUAUCUACCACAUCAUGUAAAUUGUGAUCAUAUCAAAUUCCUCUCAUCAAUAAAAUUUCCUGGGAAUUAUCUGUUCCAGAAAAAGAAAAGAAAAAAGUUAGAGA